ACCUCGAAUCAGGUAGGANUACCCGCUGAACUUAAGCAUAUCAAUAAGCGGAGGAAAAGAAACCAACAGGGAUUGCCCUAGUAACGGCGAGUGAAGCGGCAACAGCUCAAAUUUGAAAUCUGGCCUUCGGGUCCGAGUUGUAAUUUGUAGAGGAUGCUUUUGGUGAGGUGCCUUCCGAGUUCCCUGGAACGGGACGCCAUAGAGGGUGAGAGCCCCGUCUGGUUGGACACCGAUCCUCUGUAAAGCUCCUUCAACGAGUCGAGUAGUUUGGGAAUGCUGCUCUAAAUGGGAGGUAUAUGUCUUCUAAAGCUAAAUAUUGGCCAGAGACCGAUAGCGCACAAGUAGAGUGAUCGAAAGAUGAAAAGCACUUUGAAAAGAGAGUUAAAAAGUACGUGAAAUUGUUGAAAGGGAAGCGCUCAUGACCAGACUUGGGCUUGGUUGAUCAUCCAGGGUUCUCCCUGGUGCACUCUUCCAGUUCAGGCCAGCAUCAGUUCGCUGCGGGGGAUAAAGGCUUUGGGAAUGUGGNUCNNUCGGGAGUGUUAUAGCCCAUUGUGUAAUACCCUGUGG
rnacentral:rRNA from 1 species